rfam:Oryza glaberrima chromosome 9 Oglab09_0144_4, whole genome shotgun sequence.
AAAAAGACAAACCCUGAGUUUCCGUGUCCAACUUUGACUGUCCGUCUUAUAUGAAAUUUUUUUAUAAUUCGUAUUUUCAUUGUUAUUAGAUGAUAAAACAUGAUAAAUAUUUUAUGUAUGACUUGUUUUUUUAAUUUUUUUUAUAAUUUUUUUAAAUAAGACGAACGGUUAAACAUUGGAUACAAAAAUCAGGGUUUGCUUUUUUU